CACAGAGGAAGGCAGCUGUCUACAAACCAGGAAGAGAGCCUUCACCAGAAACUGAAUCUGCUGGCACAGUUAAGUCUUUUUAUAGGAAAAUCCCAGAAAAAAUCUGGAGUCUUCGGGGAUAGAAAUCACAGAUCUUUUACUGUUCCAGCAACAGAAUAUAUCCGGAUAAUGAAUAUCUAGUCAUUUAGAGAGAGAGUGAGUGAUAGCAGGAGAGACAAAGGGAAAGAGGAAGACAGAAGAACAAAGGAAGAAGAAAAGCAGAAUUUUGCCAGAAAACCCAAUGGCUUCUCCACUCAGUUGCCCAGUUUGUAAAGCAAAUGGAGGAUGGAGGAAGGAGGAUUCAUCAUAUUUGUCACCUGCCUCUCUUCUCAGAACUGGGAAGACUGUUGCUCCAGUGAGCCAGAUUUGAGCAGUGAGAUACUGCUGAAAAAUAAGAACUUCUCUCUGGUUUAGUCUUCAUUUGCAAGACCUGCACUCUUCGUCCUGAGCCUCAGACCUGGCUUCCAGGGAAGCCACCUAUUGUCAGAAGAUCUCCUGCCUUUAAUCUGCCAGCAUAUAGGAGUUUUCCAAUCAUUGACAACAACAAGGCCUCUUUAUCAAGACAGACCUCUAUAAAGAAGUGCCCCUUGUGAUAAAUGCCAACACUGCUGUAGUCUUCUGCUAAUAUUAUUAAUGAUUUAUAUGAGUGCCUUCUAUGGUCUAGAGCAGUGGUAUUGAAAAUGUGGUCUGAAGGUUCCUAAAGUCUUUCAGAGGGUCUCUGAAUUGAAAACUACUCUCACAAGAAUACCAAGUUUUUAUUUGCCUUUCUCAUUGUCUUUCUCCCAUGAGUGUACAGUGGAAAUUUCCAGAGGUUACAUGAUGUGUGAUACAGCAACAGGUUGAAUAAGGAAACAGAUAUGAAAAAUCAGCUGUCUUUGAUUAAGCCAGAUAUAAUGAGAUUUUUUUAAAUGCCACUUUUCUCACUAAUUGUACUGUCUUUCAAAAUGCAGUUAUUUUUCAUUAAAAUAUGUUCUUUAUGUGUACAUACAAUGGGUUUAUUGUUAUUUUAAAAUGAAAAUAAAUAUUUUUAAUUUUCUUCAUUUUAAUUUAUAAUACAUUAAAUAUCAGUAGAUAUAACCCACAUAAAAACAAGGUCAUUGAUGACCUCAAUAGUUUUUAAGGGUGAAAUGAGUUCAAAAAAUAUGAGAACACCAAAAGAGGCACAAUACACAUGUUAGGUAAUUCCUUAAAACAGCCCUACAAGCCAAAUAUAUUUUGC
rnacentral:lncRNA from 1 species